rnacentral:lncRNA from 1 species
UGUGUUUAUUUUUAAUCAAAGAAUUACUUUUUUCUUUUUUUUAUUAUUUCAGUAGUUUUUAUGGAACAGGUGGUGUUUGGUUAUGUGGAUAGGUUUUUUGGAAUACUACUCAGCCAUAAAACGGAACAAAAUAAUGGAAUUCCCAGCAACCUGGAUGGAGUCGGAGACCAUUAUUCUAAGUGAAGUAACUCAGUGAGAACAAACAUCGUAUGUUCUCACUUAUAAGUGGGAGCUCUUAAAAGUGGGAGCUAAGCUAUGAGGACACAAAGGAGUAAGAAUGAUACAAUGGACUUUGGGGACUAGUGGGGAAGGGUGGGGGCUGGAUGAAGGAUAAAAGUCUACACAUUGGGUACAGUGUACAUUGGGUUUUUUCCCAUCUAUAACCGUAGAAAGAAAAGAUUAUAUCAGAUGCAUAUUGAUAGAUUUUAAAGGGUGCCAAAAAUAUUUGAAUAUGAACUAUAUAUAAAUUCCUACUGAAGACUAAAUAAACAUUCAUGUAUUUUGGAAUUUGUUUUCUAUUUCUGAUAGACUUAGUUAUUACCAGGAACAGAUGACCAGUUGCAAGAACUGUCACUAUUUUAACAUUCUCCAUCAGCUGUGGCCAUGUUGGAUUUCUGGCACCUGAGCAUUCACAUCCAUCUGUUUAUAGGGCAUUAUGCCCACUCAUGAGGUUUAUUCCAGUUUCAAAAAGUCAUGUGUAAACCAAGAUUGGAAAUAUAUAUUCCUUGAGAAAUAGAGACACAGACACACAAGGGAGAAUGCCAUAUGAAAAUGGAGGCAGAAUGGAGUGAUGCAUCUACAAGCCAAGGAACACCAAAAAUUGCCAGCAACUACUAGAAGCUAGAAGAGGCAAGAAAGGACUUUCUAGAGCCUUUGGAAAGCAUGAUUCUGCCACAUCUUGAUUUUGGACUUCCAGCCUCUAGAACUGUGAGAGAGUAAGUUUCCAUUGUUUUAAACCACCCAAU